CUGAAAACAAAGAGAAAGAAGAGUAGUUUAGUCUUAAUUUACAGCGAGUCUCGUUAGGUGUGAGGAGAUAAAUUCUAAGGUUAAAUGAAAAUCACUUUCGAGUUCUAAUUCUUAAUCUUGAGUAAGAAGAAGUGGGAGCACCCAUUAUAGUGCUAACGUAUCGCCAAGUAAUUGGCCGCACGUGAAAGGUAUUGUUAGUGAUAACAAUAUAAAUAAAGGGUGGUACCACGCUGAAGCGUCCCUCAA
rnacentral:ncRNA from 1 species